rnacentral:rRNA from 1 species
GACGAACGCUAGCGGCGUGCUUAACACAUGCAAGUCGAACGGAAAGGCCCUGCUUGCAGGGUACUCGAGUGGCGAACGGGUGAGUAACACGUGGGUGAUCUGCCCUGCACUUCGGGAUAAGCCUGGGAAACUGGGUCUAAUACCGGAUAGGAGCCAUUUUUAGUGUGAUGGUUGGAAAGUUUUUUCGGUGUAGGAUGAGCUCGCGGCCUAUCAGCUUGUUGGUGGGGUAAUGGCCUACCAAGGCGGCGACGGGUAGCCGGCCUGAGAGGGUGGGCGGCCACAUUGGGACUGAGAUACGGCCCAGACUCCUACGGGAGGCAGCAGUGGGGAAUAUUGCACAAUGGGCGCAAGCCUGAUGCAGCGACGCCGCGUGGGGGAUGACGGCCUUCGGGUUGUAAACUCCUUUCGCUAGGGACGAAGCUUUUUGUGACGGUACCUAGAUAAGAAGCACCGGCUAACUACGUG